UCCCAGUUCGGAUUGCAGUCUGCAACUCGAGUGCAUGAAGCUGGAAUCGCUAGUAAUCGCGGAUCAGAAUGCCGCGGUGAAUACGUUCCCGGGUCUUGUACACACCGCCCGUCACACCAUGGGAGCCGACAACGCCCGAAGUCAGUGACCUAACCGAGAGGGAGGAGCUGCCGAAGGCGGGGUUGGUAACUGGGGUGAAGUCGUAACAAGGUAAC
rnacentral:rRNA from 1 species